rnacentral:rRNA from 1 species
ACGUAGGGUGCGAGCGUUAAUCGGAAUUACUGGGCGUAAAGCGUGCGUAGUCGGCCAUUCAAGUCGGGUGUGAAAGCCCCGGGCUCAACCUGGGAAUUGCAUUCGAUACUGUGUGGCUAGAGUUCGGCAGAGGGAAGUGGAAUUUCUGGUGUAGCGGUGAAAUGCGUAGAUAUCAGAAGGAACAUCAGUGGCGAAAGCGACUUCCUGGACCAGAACUGACGAUCAGGCACGAAAGCGUGGGGAGCAAACAGGA